AAACUAACAAGGAUUCCCCUAGUAACGGCGAGUGAAGAGGGAAGAGCCCAAGAUUGAAAGCUGGCGUCUUCGGCGUCCGCAUUGUAAUCUCAAGAAGUGUUUUCCGCUUCGGACCAUGCCUAAGUCCCUUGGAAAAGGGCAUCAUAGAGGGUGAUAAUCCCGUACAUGGCAUGGAGCGCCCGUAGCUUUGUGAUACGCUUUCUAAGAGUCGAGUUGUUUGGGAAUGCAGCUCAAAAUGGGUGGUAAAUGCCAUCUAAGGCUAAAUAUUGGGGAGAGACCGAUAGCGAACAAGUACAGUGAUGGAAAGAUGAAAAGAACUUUGAAAAGAGAGUUAAACAGUACGUGAAAUUGCCAAAAGGGAAGGGUAGGAGGUCAGAGAUGCGUCUUGGGAUUCAGCCUUGCUUUUGCCUGGUGUUUUUCCCAAGCUGCAGGCCAACGUCGGUUUUGGGCACUGGAGAAGGGUAGGAGGAACGUGGCACCUCUCGGGGUGUGUUAUAGCCUCCUACUGGAUACAGCGACCGAGACCGAGGAACGCAGCGUACUCGUAAGAGCGGGCCUUUUGGCACCUUUACGCUUAGGGCGUUGGCAUAAUGGCCCUCUACCACCCGUCUUGAA
rnacentral:rRNA from 1 species